rnacentral:lncRNA from 1 species
UUGAAAAAAAAGUCAAUGAUGAUUCAGAGAUUUUUGGUUACAUUUUGUAAAUGAAAAUCUGAGUACUCAUUAGUUAUUUGAUGUGUAAUGCAUACUUUUUUUGCAUAAGUGAAUGAAAAGAUGGCAAGAGAACUUAAGUUGAGAAUCCAGAAGUUGAAAAUAUCAGAAGUCUUCAUGACUGUGGAUAACAUGAGUAUUUUUAGAAACAAUUUUUCUCCAAGUAGAUAUCUAAACUAAUGAUUGAGAGCACUUCCUGCAAGAAGUGAAUGAUACAUUUUCUUUUCUUUUCUUUCCUUUUCUUUUCUUUUGUUUUUUGAGACGGAGUCUCGCUCUGUCACCCAGGCUUGAGUGCAGUGGCGGGAUCUCGGCUCACUGCAAACUCCACCUCCCGGGUUUACGGCAUUAUUUUCCCAAGGAAGACGGAUUAUGAGGCAGGAAGGUGGGAAAAGAGGAAGUCAUUUACAUAAUUUUGGGGUUUCUGCUGAGGAAACCUGAGUGAACUCACUUUAGAUGCAUUUGGAAUAUUUGCAUAAAAAAUAUUUGAUUUUGGCAGCUCCAGGAACUACUGGAAGUGGGAAACAAUGCUAGAAUUGGGAUAAAGCACACUGACUCAUUACUCUUUUUUGUUACUAUUAGGCAUCAGAGAUACAUGUUUUGUUGAUUUUAGUUAAAAAAAUGAGAUAAACUUGAAUAUGAAUAGAUUGGCUUCCUUGUUCAAGGAGCUACCUCUUGGAUAAAAUAGCUGUUUAAUGAAACUUCUUUGGAGAAUAACAUGAUACUCCGAAGAAGGCUAUUUUAGAAACAAAAAUUAUGUUGAAUUCUAAUUAACUCCUAAAGUGAUCAUCUUCAAUGAAUAUUGGAGUGAUUUCUGAAUGUAAAACUCAUUAAUAUCUAAUGCUUGUAGCAGUUUUACUUUGUAGAAGUAUGCCAAAAUUGAUAAUUGAUAUUUUUCUUGAGGCUGAUAUAUUAUCCUUUGGUGCCAUGAGUGGAUGAAGAAACUUUCAGAAUGCCAAACUAGUGGAUACAAGAAACUUAAGCAAAUUAUUACACCACAUGGGUGUGAGAGAUAAUGAAUAUUAUCUGCUAGGUAUCAGCAAACAGAUAUCCAAGGUGAUCAAUUUAGGACACUUCCACUGAAGAGACGUGAACUGUAUGUUCAACUGAAGUGUCAUCGUAAUUGUGUGCCUUCUCAGUUAUUGGUGUAUUUCUGUCGUGUUCCAGUCUCCAGACAAAAAGUAGAAAACAUCAAAGCCUACACUAGUACAGUGUCUUCUCAGAAACAACCAGCUGAGAAGGCUACCAGUGACGAGAAAGAUUCUGUUUCGAAUAUAGCCACAGAAAUAAAGGAUGGACA